AUUGAACGCUGGCGGCAUGCUUUACACAUGCAAGUCGAACGGCAGCGCGGGAGCAAUCCUGGCGGCGAGUGGCGAACGGGUGAGUAAUAUAUCGGAACGUGCCCAGUAGUGGGGGAUAGCCCGGCGAAAGCCGGAUUAAUACCGCAUGAGACCUGAGGGUGAAAGCGGGGGAUCGCAAGACCUCGCGCUAUUGGAGCGGCCGAUAUCAGAUUAGCUAGUUGGUGGGGUAAAGGCCUACCAAGGCAACGAUCUGUAGUUGGUCUGAGAGGACGACCAGCCACACUGGGACUGAGACACGGCCCAGACUCCUACGGGAGGCAGCAGUAGGGAAUAUUGGACAAUGGGGGCAACCCUGAUCCAGCCAUGCCGCGUGAGUGAAGAAGGCCCUCGGGUUGUAAAGCUCUUUUGUCCGGAAAGAAAGCAUCUGGUUAAUACCCGGGUGUUCUGACGGUACCGGAAGAAUAAGCACCGGCUAACUUCGUGCCAGCAGCCGCGGU
rnacentral:rRNA from 1 species